rnacentral:lncRNA from 1 species
UCCUUGACCUCUUCGAAUCUGUAUCCAGACUCUGCCCAGAAAAAGGCAACAGCUCCAAAAUCUGUCGGUGAACUCCUCCACACCCAUUUCAUCCGUCUGCCUCAACUGUUCAAACUCUAUCAUCUUCAGCUCCCUUGAACUAUCGGGAAAAGCCCAUCCUGCAAACUCGUUUGCAAACUCUUCCCAAGUCAUGCUGUCCACUCUCG